CUCCAGCCCAGCUUCCCAUCGUGCCUCUCCACAGACUCCCAUCCUGCCUUGAAAUUGUCUCUCCAGCUAACGCAGUGCUGCUGCAUGACUCACCUAAGUCUGCUCCUGCGAUCUUCAGUCUGUCUGGCUGCCAGCAAAUGGGUCAUGGCUGUCCUUUGUAUGUCUGGCUUUGUCCCUUCCAGCUGUGCAUACUGCAGUGAUGGGAAGAAGAAGGCUCAAAGGGAAAGACUCCAGUUCCUUCUAAAAAUUCUGGAGAAAUUCUGCUUUCCUCCCCAUUGCAACUGAUGAACAUCCACCAACAACCAAGCAAAGUUUUAUUCUUUAAUGUCAGAAGAGUCAUGGCAGUUUUUCCACUAAACACAUCCUUUGAAUAUGAAGUUAAAAUCAGAGUUGGUUAGCUUUUGUUAGCGGAAAGAUCUGAAGCAAGAGGAAACAUGGUGGCCUGGCUCUUUGCAAGAAUAACACAACCCACCUACCAGCACCCCUACAGCUCUCUAAUUAACACAUUGUGGUUUUACAGAGAGGAUCAGCCACAACAUUAAACCUACUGAAAGGUGACGUGUGUAAUCAUUAGGUCACAAUGCAAUGCCCUCCUGGGAAACUGAGUCCUUGCAUUCUUGGGAUGUUACUUUGAAACCCAUCUGAAGACCAAGAAUACCCCAACAUGGC
ensembl:lncRNA